AUUUUUACUAGUGGGACCAUACGAGAAACAUUUUGCUUACACAGGUUGUUGAUGCCAGUGUUAUGUCACGGUUUGCCACUACUGGCACUUGUUUCAGCCACUCCUGGGCCCUGGAAGACCCCAGUUCAGAACUGCAGUGACUACAAUCCCCAGCUACCUGAGGCUCACCUCAGUAUGACUUGCUCUUUAAGAAACUGGAUUACCUAGAACUAAGAAUAAUAUCUGAAGGUAGAGUUUCUUUACCUCAAGAAAAGCAUCAAAAAUGCAGUUGAAUUACCCCAUCCAUUAACCAUAGGAAAAAAGAAAAGGUACCUCUGGACAAGAUCAAGCAGACAUGACAAAUGCCUCUGACUUCUUUUUAAAUUGAACCUGGAAGGUCAUCACUGAACAAACAAAAUGCUAUACAACCAGGGCCAUAAAUUAUGAGAGCUAACGAAAAGGUUAUAGGAGAAUGCUCUUCAGCGCCCCAUGAAAUCAUCUCUUCUCCCAGCUGGACAAGCACCAGUUCCUUCAGCCUCUUCUUGGAGGGCAAGGAACCUCUACUUCUGGGAGCACAGCUGAAACAUCUGGUAUACUUCCUGUUCCUGCCUUUGUAAAAAUAUGCUGAAUUAUCAGUAUGAAUUCAAAGAAGGGAAGAUGGAGAAAUGGAAAAAUUCAGAGUAACUUCAAAUGUUUGCUUAGAAAUACUAUCAUUGGUCAGUAUUAAUGUUAACACUUCCUAAGGACUCUGUGUUUAAUAUGUGUGCCAAUAUAAAGAAACUGUAAUUUAUGCAAUUUAAUGUUUUUGAGCAGUGAAAUCAA